rnacentral:rRNA from 1 species
GGGUUGUGAGGUUAAGCGACUAAGCGUACACGGUGGAUGCCCUGGCAGUCAGAGGCGAUGAAGGACGUGCUAAUCUGCGAUAAGCGUCGGUAAGGUGAUAUGAACCGUUAUAACCGGCGAUUUCCGAAUGGGGAAACCCAGUGUGAUUCGUCACACUAUCAUUAACUGAAUCCAUAGGUUAAUGAGGCGAACCGGGGGAACUGAAACAUCUAAGUACCCCGAGGAAAAGAAAUCAACCGAGAUUCCCCCAGUAGCGGCGAGCGAACGGGGAGCAGCCCAGAGCCUGAAUCAGUGUGUGUGUUAGUGGAAGCGUCUGGAAAGGCGCGCGAUACAGGGUGACAGCCCCGUACA